AGCUCUCUUCCGAUUAGACAUUCUCUGGUGACACUAGCCCAAGGCGGCUUAUAAGCGAUAGCCCAAGGGGGAUAUGAAAGCUAGAGAGCAUACGUGGGUUGUGGCUUGCUCCCACCAUACAUGCGAUAAAAUGGAAAAUCAAGAAAAAGAUUGCGGGCGAAAGAUGCGACAGGAUCUAAACCAACAAAUCAACGAUGUCCAUAUGUUCCAUGUUCUAGGGACUCCAGGUUGAAGAUCAUCCCAUCGUUGAGGUAAUCCCUUACCAAAGUAGCAGUCGUCUGCUGGAAACACAGCGGGCGGAAUGUGGAUGUGGACGUGUAGGUUAUAUCUGUUGGUCCCGGAGCCCAUGCAGGGCUGCAGUACCGCGGGAGAACCACCAGGGGGCGGUAGACGACGCCUCAUGGAGUUCAAAUAAACAACCACAGCGCUCAACUGGAUUGUGUCUAUACACGAAGAAAGCUCUACCCGUGGAUGUUUAAUGAGAUAAAGCAGUACGGCCGCUAAUCCACCUGGAGCUCUCGAUCCCACUCGUUGAGAGGCUUUAUCGGCAGGGGAAACAACGCACAGCGCCUGGGCAGAACCAUGACACAGGAUGAGACAAACCAAACGCACAGCUGCAGUUAAAGAUAUGAAAUAAAUGUGUCAACAGAGCUGUGUAACGUGGAAAGAUAAGAGUACAAUUCAUUUAAAAUAUAAAGGGCAAAAUUGUGCUUUUGCUGUUAAGAAAUAGUAUAGAUAUACUGUAUAUUUAUGUAUGUAUAUGUACGUAUGUAUAUGUGGAAAUGUGGACGUUGCAGAAACAAAUAUCGGGGGAAUUUGCAAUCCUGGUAUCGGUAUGGAAACAACCAUAGGGGACAUAGGACAGGGGAC
ensembl:lncRNA